rnacentral:lncRNA from 1 species
CCAUUGGAAACUCAACGCUUAAUUUCACUGAGGCAAAAGAUGGAUCUCUCCCAUUUCUGUGGUUACACUCCUCAACCCCAAAACCCCAAAAAAGGAGUUACAAACUCACCUUCCCCUCAUUACAAUAUGUUAAGUAUGUUACAUAUGAUCAACCAAAUUUCAGUAAAUAAAAAUAGAACCCCUCCUACCCCACAUAUUCUAUCCCAAUUCUCAUCUACAAACAUUAAGGUCCAUAGAGAAUUCUUCAGUCUGUAGGUGGAUCUCUCCACACAAGGCUUCCCUUCCCAGAAAAUUGUGCUUUAAGGAUGUACAUAGCAAUGGAGUUGACAGUAAGUACGAAGCUUUGCAUGCAACCAUUUGACCUUGGCUUAGUGUGGUGGAAGUGGAAAUGAAGGUAUAUAGCUAGGCAUCGUUGUUACGCCAGCGCAGGAGCAUGGAGAUGCAAACCCUCAUGAUGUACAGCUUCCCUCUCUGUUGCCUCACCAUCCUCCUCCACUUCUCCAGCUUCUGCCUCAUCAUAUAUAUGUGACAACCCUGCUCCUUAUCUUCAGCAAAAAAGCUCUCUCCAAUCUCCACCCCACUAAAUUCUGUGGAGAUAGCUAGACAACCAUAGAGAAAAGGACAUAUUUAUAGAGAGAGAGAGAGAGAGAGAGUUCCGGCCUUCCUUCCAUUCACUUCACAUCACCUGGGUUCCUUUGUG